UUUACCUACGGGGGGCAGCAGUGAGGAAUAUUGGUCAAUGGGCUUACGCCUGAACCAGCCAAGUCGCGUGAGGGAAGACUGCCCUAUGGGUUGUAAACCUCUUUUGUCAGGGAGCAACGCCGGCUACGUGUAGCCGGACUGAGAGUACCUGAAGAAAAAGCAUCGGCUAACUCCGUGCCAGCAGCCGUGGUAAUACGGAGGAUGCGAGCGUUAUCCGGAUUUAUUGGGCGUAAAGCGAGUGCAGGCGGUU
rnacentral:rRNA from 1 species